rnacentral:rRNA from 1 species
UACAGAGGGUGCGAGCGUUAAUCGGAAUUACUGGGCGUAAAGGGCGCGUAGGCGGCCUGUUAAGUCGAACGUGAAAUCCCCGGGCUCAACCCGGGAACUGCGUCCGAUACUGGCAGGCUCGAAUCCGGGAGAGGGAAGCGGAAUUUCGGGUGUAGCGGUGAAAUGCGCAGAUAUCCGAAGGAACACCGGUGGCGAAGGCGGCUUCCUGGACCGACACUGACGCUGAGGCGCGAAAGCUAGGGGAGCAAACGGG